ACGAACGCUGGCGGCAGGCUUAACACAUGCAAGUCGAACGCCCCGCAAGGGGAGUGGCAGACGGGUGAGUAACGCGUGGGAAUCUACCCUUUACUACGGAAUAACGCAUGGAAACGUGUGCUAAUACCGUAUGUGUCCUUCGGGAGAAAGAUUUAUCGGUAAAGGAUGAGCCCGCGUUGGAUUAGCUAGUUGGUGGGGUAAAGGCCUACCAAGGCGACGAUCCAUAGCUG
rnacentral:rRNA from 1 species